AUUAAAGUUAUUAAGGGCGCACGGUGGAUGCCUUGGCACUAGAAGCCGAUGAAGGACGUUACUAACGACGAUAUGCUUUGGGUAGCUGUAAGUAAGCGUUGAUCCAGAGAUUUCCGAAUGGGGGAACCCAGCAUGAGUUAUGUCAUGUUAUCGACAUGUGAAUUUAUAGCAUGUCAGAAGGCAGACCCGGAGAACUGAAACAUCUUAGUACCCGGAGGAAGAGAAAGAAAAAUCGAUUCCCUGAGUAGCGGCGAGCGAAACGGGAAGAGCCCAAACCAACAAGCUU
rnacentral:rRNA from 1 species